AUUGUUGGACCAUUAAACCGCCACCAAGUUUCCUGCGAUCAUUAAACGCCAAAAGAUCAAGUCAAAAGAAUUAGUCAUCAGUCUCCUAUUAUCUCGGCAACUUGAGAGCUAAAGAAGAAGUCAAAGCUGAGAAAAAGGAGGCACGUGUAACAACUAAACAACAGAUAAAGAGCUCUAUAAAAAGACAAGAGAGCUAUCUUCUCAAGAAGGGGGGGGGGGGGGACUAAAGGGGCCUCUCGAGGGAAAGAACAAGAAAUAGAACCACAUUCCAUUAUUCCAUUGUAUAGAAAAGACAAGACUUAUAACCACUUGAGAGAAGAGCCAGAAGAAGACAAGAUGCUUUCUCUACGCUUACUUCAUAAAGCAACUACAACCUCGUAUCGAUUGAAAUCCAUAAUCAUUUACACAGCAAAAGCGAUCCUUGACCAUGUUAGUGGCGCGAGCUCGUAUUCAUAUACGAUGCCAUUCACAAAGGUCCGACUUUUAGAGCUUAUGAGGGCUUACGACCAGGAAUACAAUUAUUCAUCACCUUCAUUGCGCUUAAAGAGGAUUGUGUGCUUAUUUGUUGAUAAAAGAUCAACCAUCGAAGACCACGUCAUUAUUCACUACCAGAUCGAUUACGGC
rnacentral:lncRNA from 1 species